rnacentral:rRNA from 1 species
CGGGAACGGGGUGGAGGUUAAAUGUCUUGGGGAAAACUGCCCGAUGGAGGGGGAUAACUACUGGAAACGGUAGCUAAUACCGCAUAACGUCGCAAGACCAAAGAGGGGGACCUUCGGGCCUCUUGCCAUCGGAUGUGCCCAGAUGGGAUUAGCUAGUAGGUGGGGUAACGGCUCACCUAGGCGACGAUCCCUAGCUGGUCUGAGAGGAUGACCAGCCACACUGGAACUGAGACACGGUCCAG